rnacentral:rRNA from 1 species
AGUGAACGCUGGCGGUAGGCCUAACACAUGCAAGUCGAACGGCAGCACAGUAAGAGCUUGCUCUUACGGGUGGCGAGUGGCGGACGGGUGAGGAAUACAUCGGAAUCUAUUUUUCGGUGGGGGAAAACGUAGGGAAAUUUACCUUAAUACGGCUUACGCCCAACGGGGGAAAGCGGGGAACCUUCGGCCCUUGGGCGAUUGAAUAGGCGCAUGUCGUAUUAGCUAGUUGGCGGGGUAAAGGCCCACCAAGGCGACGAUCCGUAGCUGGUCUGAGAGGAUGAUGAGCCACACUGGAACUGAGACACGGUCCAGACUCCUACGGGAGGCAGCAGUGGGGAAUAUUGGACAAUGGGCGCAAGCCUGAUCCAGCCAUACCGCGUGGGUGAAGAAGGCCUUCGGGUUGUAAAGCCCUUUUGUUGGGAAAGAAAAGCAGCAGGUUAAUACCCCGCUGUUCUGACGGUACCCAAAGAAUAAGCACCGGCUAACUUCGUG